AGGAACUUCCCAAGGAACAGGCUAACCUUGCAGCCUGUCCCCGGGCAUUCCGA
rnacentral:pre_miRNA from 1 species